rnacentral:rRNA from 1 species
AUUGAACGCUGGCGGCAGGCCUAACACAUGCAAGUCGAGCGAGAAAGUUCUUCGGAAUGAGUACAGCGGCGGACGGGUGCGUAACGCGUAGGAAUCUACCUAGUAGUGGGGGACAACAUGGGGAAACUCAUGCUAAUACCGCAUACGCCCUACGGGGAAAGGCGGGGGACCGUUCGGGCCUCGUGCUAUUAGAUGAGCCUGCGUAAGAUUAGCUUGUUGGUGGGGUAAAGGACCUACCAAGGCGACGAUCUUUAGCUGGUCUGAGAGGAUGAUCAGCCACACUGGAACUGAGACACGGUCCAGACUCCUAC